GGACAAGGUCUUUAUUAUUCAGAUACAUGCAGCCACUCCUCCAACGUCCCCUCUCCCAUAGGGCAAGUCCAGCUGCUCCAGGCUCUCCCCAGUGUCGCCAUUAGUCCCAGGAGCCCAGGACACCAGCACCUUCAUCCUUGGGGCCCUGCUUGCAGCACUCACCUCCUGAGAGACUAAUGUACCCGUCAUAACAAUGAGUGGUGCCCCUGGGGCAGGUCUUUACUGGGGAGUCACUUGAGCAGGUUCCAAAGGGCUGCACACAGGUAAGACACUGCUGGUCUCCUGGCUCAGGGGCACCUGGGGAGCAGAGGGAAGGUGGGGGUACGUGACUUUGUGCUCAGAGCAGCCGCCCACCUUGGACCAGAGUGUCUGUGGGUCUGGGCCUCAUUUCUCCAUGGCCCUGGAUCCCAUACCUUGAGGAGGGAGGGAGUUCAGCAGGACGCUGCUGCUGCUGGCACCAUUGCACAGGUCUGAGGAGCAGAAGUGGGCAUAGGAGGCCACGAGCACCCCAGGAGGGGCUGAGUGGAUGGAGGUCUUCUGGGAAUUUUGAGCCCCAACAGCGCUGCAGCCUUUGCUCCACACCAGGGUCGAUGUAUAUAAAGCUGCAGGAAUACAAAUGGGAUUGGAUCUGCAGCGCCUAAGACAGAUGCUGGAUAAACAUUUCCAGCCUGUAUGAAGCCACUGAGAUUCCUCAGUGUUGGCACGGUUCUCCGCCCUGGGCAGGGAUUACCGCAUACAUCGUCACCCCUACCCAGAAAGGACCCCAUGGUGUAUCUGCACCACAUUUUCUUUAUCCAAUCUACCAGUGAUGGAUAUUUCAGUGGAUUCCAUGGCUUUGCUGCUGUGAAGAGUGCUGUCAUAAACAUAUAAGUGCAGGAGAACAUCCAGGGUCAAGCAUGAACUGCACUGCGUUGUCUUCAUGAAAGAGAAAAACUCAGGACCCCAAUUCACCAUGACAGAAGGAAAAAAAAAAAAACUGGAAGCUGAGUCAUGCAAGAAACUGCCUUUCCUUUUGUUCCUAAGCAGACAGCUACAGAGAAAAGACACGUGGGUUCGAUCUGACAGCAGCCUGUGCCGUCACAGCUACCGCUCAUGCAUGCAUUCGGGGUGCCCAAAGUGACGCUGAAGGGGGCAUUCCUGGAUUCAGCCCUCCAGGAGACCACGAGGAGGCCGGUGCGAUAGAAUCAGAGGAAGACGCCUGGGCUGCGCAGAGGCCACUGUAAGUGAGGAGUGAAGAGGCCAAGCUGACUCCCAGCAGCCAGGGCCACUAAGGCUCAUCCAAUGAAUUUAUCCGAUGCUUUUGCGUCCACCAAUGGGGUUUCGAGUGCUGUGUGGCCAGGCUGGCCCGGCCUUGGAGAGGCCUAGAAGAAUGCCAAGCCCCGGGAGAAGGCGUUCCGGGCCUCAGCUUUGGCGUCGUGAGAUUUUUGUGAGGCGUCUGCCUGGAAGCCGGCGGAAAUUUUGCUUCUUUAAGGAGAAAAAGAAGGCUAGGGACUCAGAUUCCUGGAUUCUGAGGAAAGAGAAGGCUGGGGACCCAGAUCCUGGCUCUGAGGGGAACGAGGGUUGAGGGCCUGGGCUCCCGGGCCUGAGAGGGGAGGGGCCCAGAAUGUCGUGUCCCACGGGAAAAAGUGGUUGGAACCCAAACUCCUCGAUCCCUACAUAGGACGGGGCUGGGCUCUCAGAAUCCCGGGUUCUGAUGGGGCUGGGGCUGGGGACUGAGAUUCUGGGUCCCUGAGAGAAUGUAAGGGACCCCUGAGACUGAGGGAGAAGCGGCCUUCAGGGCCACAGUCCUGAUCCUGAAGUUGGAGAGCACUGGGUGGCAGGGCCCGAGAAUAAAAACUAUGAAAAACUGGGCCAUGAUAAACCUGUGAACUCGCUCCAGCUCUCAAGCCGAUUAGGGACAGACCGACUUCAGAGGUCCUGGUCAUAUACACCAUAAACCCCACUGUGAGGCCAGGCGCGGGGGCUCAUGCCCGGAAUCCCAGCACUUUGGGGGGCCGAGGCGGGCGGAUCACCUGAGGUCAGGAGUUC